ensembl:lncRNA
AGGAUGAGAGAUUUUUCAGGAAUGAACUCAGCAGGAGGGUAUAUAGAACAUGUUGUUCCAAUGUGCAGUUAUGCGUAUCCCUGAAAGGAAAGGUCUGUCCAGACCUCUAUGGAAACGGAGUAUUAUCAAAAAUUGUCAUCCAAGUACACAAUUGAAGCCGGCUCCAGGAAUUCCUCUGCAUACACUGCAUUGGGACAGCCAUUUUGAGUGAGGGAGACCAAAAAAUCAAUUGGAUGGAGAAGUAUACUCAUGCUGCUGGAUGCUAUGUCUUGGGUUUGGUCUUCUGUCAGGGAAACACACACCGGUCAGUAAGUUUUCAAAACAAUCCAAGACACACUAUUUACAGAACUGAAUGCAAAUGUUAGACAGCAGAGCAGAGGAUAUGAUGGAGAUGGGAGAUGAAUGAAAGAUCAUUGGGAAACUGGAAGGAGAAGAGGAGUUGGAGACUGGAAAGAGGAACACGGAGAGGGUCAAAGAGUGCAGAGCAUCCUGUACCCUGAAAAUCUGGCAGAGUGUGCAUUACCCUGGACAUGACGUCCAUGCCAACACUUUACACCAAGAAAGACAUUGGGCUCCGUUCCAAAAGCCAACUGCCUCAUUUUGCUUUUAGCAUAUUCUUAAGCUAAAAACACUGAACACUAAUAAGCAUAAAACAUUUCACACACAAAUAUUGUGUAAAAAAAAAAAUAAUAAUAAAAAAUAAAAAUAAUAAUAAAAAAAAUUAUUUAUAUUAGACUAAACUUACUUUUUACUGACUUAAAAAAAUGUUAAUUAAAUACUUUUUUUUUUUAAUUACUAAAUUGCAACUUACAAAUGUGUAAUUAUAGAUAUAUUUAAAUACAUUGCAGACAAGAUUCUUUAGAAAUGACAUUAAAGCAUAUCCUAAAUAUAAAAACUGUUUUAUAUUUAUACAUGAAACAUGCUCUAUUUAACUGGUCAGUGGAAGAACACAUUCAAUAUAGUUUCUGUUUUGGAGAAAUUAAUGGAGCUUUUGAUUCAGUCUCUUGUAAUUGUCAAUUUGGUCUCAG